AUGCAUUCCUGGGAAAUGGAAAUAUUUUUCUCUAAGUUCCUCCGAAGAGGAAGAUGCAAGACACAACAGAGAAGAUAUCCCUGGAACCAUCCAAACAGAUGAGGCAAGUGCUGAAGAAAAUGCUGCAGGGAGGACAAGAAAUCAAAGGAGAGCCUGCGGAGAAAGAAGCAUUUCCUGGAGGAAGCAGUGGUUCCGUGCCAGCAUCUGUUGAAGGAGGGGAGGCGAUGCCAGGCACAGGCCCAGGAGAUGAGGUUGCUGGGAAGGCUUCUCCAUCAGCUUGGAUGAAUAAAGUUUUGAAGCCCUUGGAGCCUCCUGCAGGUAUGU